UACAGAGGGUGCAAGCGUUAAUCGGAAUUACUGGGCGUAAAGGGCCUGUAGGUGGUUAUGUAAGUCUGAUGUGAAAGACCUGGGCUUAACCUGGGAGUGUCAUUGGAAACUGCAUGACUAGAGGCGAGUAGAGGGGAGUGGAAUUUCCGGAGUAGCGGUGAAAUGCGUAGAUAUCGGAAGGAACACCAGUGGCGAAGGCGACUCCCUGGGCUCGUACUGACACUGAGAGGCGAAAGCGUGGGUAGCGAACAGG
rnacentral:misc_RNA from 1 species